rnacentral:rRNA from 1 species
AGUGAACGCUGGCGGUAGGCCUAACACAUGCAAGUCGAACGGCAGCACAGUAAGAGCUUGCUCUUACGGGUGGCGAGUGGCGGACGGGUGAGGAAUACAUCGGAAUCUACUUUUUCGUGGGGGAUAACGUAGGGAAACUUACGCUAAUACCGCAUACGACCUACGGGUGAAAGCAGGGGAUCUUAGGACCUUGCGCGAUUGAAUGAGCCGAUGUCGGAUUAGCUAGUUGGCGGGGUAAAGGCCCACCAAGGCGACGAUCCGUAGCUGGUCUGAGAGGAUGAUCAGCCACACUGGAACUGAGACACGGCCCAGACUCCUACGGGAGGCAGCAGUGGGGAAUAUUGGACAAUGGGCGCAAGCCUGAUCCAGCCAUACCGCGUGGGUGAAGAAGGCCUUCGGGUUGUAAAGCCCUUUUGUUGGGAAAGAAAAGCAGCAGGUUAAUACCCGGUUGUUCUGACGGUACCCGAAGAAUAAGCACCGGCUAACUUCGUG